rnacentral:rRNA from 1 species
AUACGUAGGGUGCAAGCGUUGUUCGGAAUCACUGGGCGUAAAGGGCGUGUAGGCGGGACGGUCAGCUAGAGGUGAAAGCCCGGGGCUCAACCCCGGAGGGUCUUUUAGAACUGCCGUUCUUGAGAAGGUCAGAGGUUAGCGGAAUUCCUGGUGUAGCGGUGAAAUGCGUAGAUAUCAGGAGGAACACCGGUGGCGAAAGCGGCUAACUGGGGCCAUUCUGACGCUGAGGCGCGAAAGCGUGGGGAGCAAACAGGAUUAGAAACCCCAGUAGUCC